rnacentral:rRNA from 1 species
GAUGAACGCUGGCGGCGUGCCUAAUACAUGCAAGUCGAGCGAACGGACGAGAAGCUUGCUUCUCUGAUGUUAGCGGCGGACGGGUGAGUAACACGUGGAUAACCUACCUAUAAGACUGGGAUAACUUCGGGAAACCGUAGCUAAUACCGGAUAAUAUUUUGAACCGCAUGGUUCAAAAGUGAAAGACGGUCUUGCUGUCACUUAUAGAUGGAUCCGCGCUGCAUUAGCUAGUUGGUAAGGUAACGGCUUACCAAGGCAACGAUGCAUAGCCGACCUGAGAGGGUGAUCGGCCACACUGGAGGUGAGACACGGUCCAGACUCCUACGGGAGGCAGCAGUAGGGAAUCUUCCGCAAUGGGCGAAAGCCUGACGGAGCAACGCCGCGUGAGUGAUGAAGGUCUUCGGAUCGUAAAACUCUGUUAUUAGGGAAGAACAUAUGUGGAAGUAACUGUGCACAGCUUGACGGUACCUAAUCAGAAAGCCACGGCUAACUACGUG